UUACCACUCCCUCCGUCAGGAAAUACUUGUUUGAGGAAUGGAUGUAUCUAUACGUAUUUUAGUUCUAGAUACAUCCAUUUCUAUCCAUUUUUAUGACAAGUAAUUUUGGACGGAGGGAGUAUAUG
rfam:Hordeum vulgare subsp. vulgare, WGS project CAJW01000000 data, contig: morex_contig_347505